rnacentral:lncRNA from 1 species
CUGGCAUAGAGCUCACUGUUUGCACUUGACAACAAACUUUUUCAACACACCUCCUCCCUCUUUUCCACCAUCUUCAAUAGAUUCAGAUUCAACCUCUCUUCAACCCCUCUUCCUCUCUUUCUUGCCACCUCAAGUGACGCCAGCUCUACUGCCACUCCAUCAUCUCUGAAAAGACAUUCGCACACCGAACUAUUUCAACCCGCAGUGCUCUGCGGGGACCCAUGAUCACCCAGAGGGCCAGUGUCUUCACCAGGCCGGCUAAACACCCUCUCGGCCCUGCCGAGACCAUCAUCGGACUGGGACUGUUCGCACUGGCUAUCCUGGGACCUUCCAGUUGGAUUCUCGCCAACAUUGAGGACUACAAGAAGAAAGAUUAACUUAACAUGAACUCAUGUUAAUGGAUGUUCCGUACAUUCUGUACUCAUUCAAGACUCUCCUGGGACCAUCAUUAUUUCAAGAACUCUAUGGAACAAAUCCCCAACCUCCAUGAACUACCUCUCCAUCUCCACUGUACUCUCCUCACUCCUAGUUUACUCUUCAGCCCUUUGGAGAACCGUCUGCAAAUAGAAUGGCUGCACAACAUCUCAAGAUUUGUGAAUUUGAUUUGAACAAGGAGUAUGUUACAAUAAUAAAACAUAAUUAAACUUGAAAUAUUCUAGUCUCAAAUGUGCCUGUUUGUCAAGUGCCUCUCAAUGAUGCCAACACCACUCACUAAAUAGCUUGGAGAAAAAUAAGCUAUAAGAGAUGUCUAUUUGAUUUACUAAGCGUACUUUUGAAGUUACUAUAAAUCAUUUAACAUUCCUG